rnacentral:lncRNA from 1 species
CUGAUGAUUUUAAUUGAUUUUACUGAUGAUUUUAAAUGUUCUUAUUGAUUUUACUGAUGAUUUUAAAUGUUCUUAUUGAUUUUAAACAAUUGAAUGUUUUAUCAUGUAAAGCACAUUGAGUUGCCUUGAGUAUGAAAUGCGCUAUAUAAAUAAAUUUGCCUUGCCUUGCCUUUAUGUUGAAUUUAUUGUUAAAUAAAUAGUAGCCGAACGAUUAGAAAAAAAAAAACAAAAAAUCUGAAAGAAAACGAUGCAGGCAAACAGAAAAUUAAAAUUAUCCUCAGCCUCUAAAGACUUAAUCCUUCCCUCCAUCUUCCCUUCCUGUGGGUGGGGGUGAUGGGGGGGCGGAUAUGAUGAGCAAAUGUUAACUGGUGGUUAAAGAUCUCAUAUUUCCAUCCAUCUGCUAAGUUGUGGUCAGGGUGCCUAAACACUAAAGAAAGAAGACCUUGAUCAUGAUCACUAUAGUCGGAAGGGUAAUAUUGAAGAGCUGAAUAAGAUGAUGGGAGACCACUGGAAUGCUAAAGACAGGCAGAGUGAGAGAGGAGGUGUUGUACGAAGACAAGAGAUGUGGAAAAAUGUGUUACAGAUGCAGGGACAGGAGUCACUCUGAACAGCAGCCUGGGUUCCCUCAGCGACAUCAUCAGAGGCCAUGAAAAAUAUGCAUAACUAACCCUGCAGCCAUGCAAUCAGGGGAUGUUGCACGGACACAACGGACUCCUUCAAACUCCUACCAGCAAUGUAUUAAUAGUUGAAGUUAGUUCAACGAGUCCAACAGUCAAUGAGGU